UCAGAUGGCUGGAUGAUCGCCGCUUGCCUUAGCAGGGGGAGGAAAGUCCGGGCUCCACGGAAAUGCGAUGCCGGUUAAUGGCCGGCGGGGGUGACCCUAGGGAAAGUGCCACAGAAAGUAUACCGCCUGACUUUAAUGACAGGUAAGGGUGAAAGGGUGCGGUAAGAGCGCACCGCGCGGCUGGCAACAGCGGCGGCAUGGUAAACCCCAUCGGGAGCAAAACCAAAUAGGGACGUCCAGCGCAGAGUUCUCUCGUGCGCAGGCUGGUUUUCCGAGCUGACGUCCGGGUUGGUUGCUUGAGGUAUUUGGUAACAGGUAUCCUAGAUGAAUGAUCAUCCCCUGUUUUCAGGGACAGAACCCGGCUUAUAGGCCAUCUGCCUUA
rnacentral:RNase_P_RNA from 1 species